UCGAGCGGCAGCACGGGAAGCUUGCUUCCUGGUGGCGAGCGGCGGACGGGUGAGUAAUGCAUAGAAAUCUGCCCGGUAGUGGGGGAUAACCUGGGGAAACCCAGGCUAAUACCGCAUACGUCCUACGGGAGAAAGCAGGGGAUCUUCGGACCUUGCGCUAUCGGAUGAGUCUAUGUCGGAUUAGCUUGUUGGUGAGGUAAUGGCUCACCAAGGCGACGAUCCGUAGCUGGUCUGAGAGGAUGAUCAGCCACAUCGGGACUGAGACACGGCCCGAACUCCUACGGGAGGCAGCAGUGGGGAAUAUUGGACAAUGGGCGAAAGCCUGAUCCAGCCAUGCCGCGUGUGUGAAGAAGGCCUUCGGGUUGUAAAGCACUUUCAGUGGGGAAGAAAGCCUUGGGGCUAAUACCCUCGAGGAAGGACAUCACCCACAGAAGAAGCACCGGCUAACUCCGUGCCAGCAGCCGCGGUAAUACGGAGGGUGCGAGCGUUAAUCGGAAUUACUGGGCGUAAAGCGCGCGUAGGCGGUCUGAUAAGCCGGUUGUGAAAGCCCCGGGCUCAACCUGGGAACGGCAUCCGGAACUGUCAGGCUAGAGUGCAGGAGAGGAAGGUAGAAUUCCCGGUGUAGCGGUGAAAUGCGUAGAGAUCGGGAGGAAUACCAGUGGCGAAGGCGGCCUUCUGGACUGACACUGACGCUGAGGUGCGAAAGCGUGGGUAGCAAACAGGAUUAGAUACCCUGGUAGUCCA
rnacentral:rRNA from 1 species